AAUAAACCCACGCAGCCCCACUUCGGGACGCACCUGCAGCCCAGCGGACAGCCUACCAGCCUCCAAACAGUUCUGCGAAAAAUUAGGCUAUCUUUCAUUAGCUAUCUACCAUGCGGCCUCCACCAGGCUGCAGGAUAUGAGGGCCAUUUAAUUAGGCCCUGCACCACUCUCGGGUGUGAAAAGGCUCUCAAACGCUUUGAUUCCCCGCUGCUUCGCAGCAGGAAGUUGUUGGCGAUAAUUGACAUAGGAUUUCCUUGUUAACCAGCAGCAGACACGCCGGAUUAAAGCGACAGAGAUCUCGAGAAGAAAGUGAAAGAGAUAAGAAGCUCGGAAGACUUCUGCUUAUUUGGCACUUGAGGAUGGCAGGAAACAGCAAUAACCUACUCAAGUGGCGACUCCAGAGUGGAAGGGCGUCCCCUUAUCAGACCCAUUUCAGCUUGGCUGAUCAAAGAUUGACUCCCCGCAAAAUCACAUAGGCCUGGGGUUUGUUAGUUUAUUAAGCGGCAGGUUUUAGGAAUUAUCACAGGUUUAAAGAUGGAUUGCAGUUUAUGUGAAGGGGGAGAGGAUUAUCGGGUUUUCAUCUUAACAAUUAUAAAAUAUCACAGCUGAAAGCUUGCUUGCAAAUGACAUAAUUUUCCACUGCCAACUAAACAGGUCAUUGUGAGGCUGCCUGUGAGCGCACUAAAUGAGGGAGGAAAUACAGGCAAAUUAACUCUGGGGAGGACAGGGGAUGAGGGGCCUCCACGCCUUGUUCCACUUCGGAAGACGGUGCGAUCUCAUUUUGCCCUGUGCGAUUCCUUAGGUAUAACAUCCAAUUGCUCCUGUUGGAAGGGACGUUCUGCAUGCAAAUGGCAGAGAUACUCUGGGUCACUCAAAUAUAUUGUUCCUGAAAGAAAGGAAGUGGUCUGCAGAGAAGAUACUCUGCUAGAAGAUUCCUCUGUGAGGCUGCUAGUACUUCUCCAGCAGACCAAGCCAGGAGAGCUUUCUGAAAGGUGAGCUGAUUUUCUCAACACCCGUAAUGAAAGUCAGUCACUCACAUAUAUCAGGGACUUCCUGUGUUAUGUCAGGCAUGGUUUUAAGUGCUUUGUUAUAUGAUCUGAUUUAAUCCUCACACCGCCCUAAGUGCAAAACAAAUUUCCAAAACUAGAAGUCUUCAUUUACUCAUUUCUUUAAAAAUAAGCAUUUAUUAAGUGUCUCCUAUUGGUCAGGCUCUGCACUGAGUGUUGAGGAUUUGAAGGCAAAAAAGACACGGAGUACAUAUGGGAAAAUAGGCCCGUAAGUCAGUAGAGUAGAACACAGUCAGAAGGAGGCAGGGUACUGAGUGGCUGGUGCACUGGUUUCUGAUUCAGAGGAACUUGAAUUGGGAUCCCAGCUCCAUUACUUCUAUUGAAUUUCCUUGGGCAAAAUGUGUGACUUCUCCAGGCCUUGGGUAUCUAAUCCAUAAAGUGGCAAUAAUAAUACUGAUUUUACCACUUGCUUCAAGGAUUAAAAGACACCCACAUGUCACCCACAUAGUAAGGAGCUGACAUCUAGUAUGUACUUAAUAAAUGGUACUACCUACUCAUUAUUACUGUUCAUGCUGUAACCAUUUAGUCAAGUAUUUUAGAAUUACAAAAAAAUUUAAGAACAUGAAGUUUUCAUCUUUAACAUCAAUCUCGCUCCUUACAGAUUUUACCAGAUUUUCCAGGGGUUCUCAAAGAUUGUCUGCAGAGCAGCACUGAUAAAUGAUUGCAGCUUCUUGAGUCUAUAGAGAGAGACCUUUAUGCUCUCUCUACUACGAAGUAAUGCUUUUUUCCCUGAGAUUAUGUUCUUUUUAAAAUUUUUAUGUGCUUUUAAAAUUUCAUGUGUGUGUUAACAUGUCCUUUCUUUACAGAAUGUUGAAGACAAUAUAUAAAUUUCUGAAAAGAUUUGAAUGAUUUGAUUUGGCAAAAUAAAGAAUUGCCAAUCCUACAUAGAGCUCCAUACACCAAUUUUUAAAAAUAAUUUUAUUGCUUCACAAAAUCUGGGAACCACUGGAUAUAUGAAGUAUCUCUUUUAGCAAAAGCAAAGUCAACUCUCACCCUAGAAAAAAGUUCAUUUUUUGAUCUGUUUUUAUUUUUCUGUGGCAAAAAGUGCUUUUGUGAUGCCUCUUUGAAUAAAAGACUCAUUUUCCUAAGUGAUGCAUCUGCUUUUAAUGUCUUAAAUGCUGGGAUAAGACAGACAUAUCUUCCCUGGUCUGGGUUUUCUUAAAUAGCCAGAAGUCUUCGUGAAAAAGACAAGCAAGCAUCUAAUAGAGAAAUAACUCCAAGACAAAGUGCCAUAGCUGCACGAUGUCGCCUCCCUGACAACCUAUAAAUGGACCAUAUUGAUGAAGUGAACAGGACUCUCUCUGGUCAUUUUCAACUAGAAACUAAUAACCCCCGUCAUGAUAUCAGGCAUGCAAUAACCUCGGUUAAAACUAGGUUCAUCAAAUAAAUCACUCAGGAAUUUCUCUAUUUCUUUCUCUGGACACAUUGCACAUCUGCUCAAUGAAAGGAAGAAAGAAGCAAUAUUUCUUUGAUCAGGAAUUUUGUUUUAAUAUUCUUGUAUCCAUCCCUUGGGAUACUAUCUUUUCAAGUGGGUGCAGAUAAUACAUCACUUUAUAAUGAAUGUGGAGAAUUUAUGAAUUUAAGCUAUAAAACCAAAUAUGAGGGAUUUUAGUUGAUCUCAAUCUAUAUUUUACAUUGUCAUGAGAAAAUAAACCGGACCACAAAGCCGUAUUGUGCCCAGUUCACUAAAUCUCCUGAUCUCUCAUGACCUUUUCAAUGUGUUCCAUUUGUGGCCACAUAUGGGAGGGGGAUACAAACAGAUGAUCGCUUUGUACUUUUUCCCAAUAUGUCUAAAUACAUGUUAUACUUUUCAUAUCCUCUCAGCCGCGGACAGUAAGGACUUGGCCAGAGCAUCAGACAUCAGCCUCAGCUAAUAUUGUUGUAUGUUAACAUCUUACUGACUCUGUUAAUACAGGUAUUGGGUGAAUUU